UCGAUCUCUACCGAGCUUAGACUGAAGUGUCGCCGCUACCACGGCACUGGCACCAACUGGGGACACUUGGAGGGAAAAAUCAAACCAGAGAGGCCUGCAAACUCUAGGUCUCAAUCUGCUCUUCUAUACAUCAUGGUCCCUUUCCAACGUCCGAUGCUGCGGGAGCAGGUUCUGGACACUUAGGGGCUGGAAGGGACAGGUUCUUCCACAGACUGCCCUGGUCUAGA
rnacentral:lncRNA from 1 species